AUUGAACGCUGGCGGCAGGCCUAACACAUGCAAGUCGAACGAGUGGCGGACGGGUGAGUAAUGUCUGGGAAACUGCCUGAUGGAGGGGGAUAACUACUGGAAACGGUAGCUAAUACCGCAUACCAUCGGAUGUGCCCAGAUGGGAUUAGCUAGUGGGUGGGGUAAAGGCUCACCUAGACGACGAUCCCUAGCUGGUCUGAGAGGAUGACCAGCCAAACUGGAACUACGAGCCGGUCCAGAGUCCUACGGGAGGCAGCAGUGGGGAAUAUUGCAAAAGUGGCGCAAGCCUGAGGGUGCCAUGCCGCGGGUAGGAAGAAGGCCUUCGGGUUGUAAAGUACUUUCAGCGGGGAGGCGGUACCCGCAGAAGAAGCACCGGCUAACUCCGUGCCAGCAGCCGCGGUAAUAC
rnacentral:rRNA from 1 species